AGAGUACCUCAUACUACAUUCUGAACAUUGCUGCAGUCAAGAAGGAUUUCUGUCUAAUGCGCUGGCCUCUACCACCAAAUGCCUGAAAAAUUAAGAAACAUUAUGUAGAUUCCAGACACAGUCGGGAUUUAUGUUGCAGGAUCCUUGGGUUGCACAACCACAACCUUGGCUAUGCCCAAUGACAAGGGACAGCAAGAUGCUACUUUAUGCCCAGAUGUCACGUCUUAUGACAUUUCAAGGCAGCGAGGCUGAGACUGCACUGUAUUCAGCGGCACUGACAACCAUGAUGUAGAGGACUGACUUUCCCCCUAUGUACAACACAUCAGCAGAAUAAGAACAAGGAAAUGCCCCACACAGGUGCGUGGCACUAAACUGGACGCACUACCUGCUGUAUGCAAGAGAGAAUUAGGAAGAAUGAGCUUCCCAUUACUCCUGAGCACCUACCUACAACUGUUUUUAUGGGCACAGCAUUGAAGCUGCAAUUGAGGUAAUGCCUAACACCACAUGAAAUACAAAGCACAAUACGUCAACACAGAGAAACCAAAACAACUGCACACACAACUUCUCACCAAAAUAGACACAACGUCUGCUUUAUGUUGUAUCUGAGCUGAAACGGGAGAAUCCCAAACUCUGUGUCACAUAACAUCUGAAAGAAUCAGCUGCUAUGAGAGAACCAGUGAGAUUAAUCUGGCGCGCUAUGCAUGCACCUGUAGCCUAACGGGUAAAGAAUUGGGCUGCUGCACUAAGGACCCAGACUAACGACCCACCAUCAGGCACGUUACUAUUAUUGAGCCUAUCUGACUGGAUGUACGAAGAAGCCAGGAGACGGAUCAUGAUAAUGCUUUGCACAAGAGACAACGAAGCUGAACCCACGUUUUCUGCCUUGUGCUUGCAAUGCUCUACCAAGUGAGCUUCAAUGGCAGUUGUCCCGAUGUCAAUUUUCUUGGAUAGCUGCGCAUGUGUACUAAGCAUAGCCCUAAGAGUGCUGGGCAGCAGCACUCACAGUCAUGAUGGCAGAUGUUAAGUAUCCUUUAAAACACCCAUACUACAAAGUACAUGAUCUUAGAAGCUGGCAAGUGGCUAAUAAACACUCGUUUUCUACCAUGAGGAACCAAGGCAGCCGAAAUCAAAACAUUUGUAGCUUAUGAGCGAGAAAAAUCAGGGGAGUCACGCAGCUCAAUUUUUUGUUUAUAACAAGCAUAUGAUGGCAACAGACUAUGAAGCAACAAUGACUAUAUAGAAAAAUGGGUUAGAGCUGACGACAAUCAUUGGCAGCUCACACUAUAAUGCUUUCUCUACAAUGUAUUGUCUCAAGACAUCUGGCAGCAAAAAUCUUCUGGAUUCUUCUACUAUGUCUUUUGCAACUGAAAUUUUAAAUGUGUGUAAUACUUCACGGCAACUUAGAACACUUACAUGGUUAAGCAUCUCCAUACCUUAAAUUUGUGGACCAGUUUUGUCACCUUUCUAGAACAAUAACUCCCUGGUGUCAUACAUCACUCAAACCACUACUAAUUAAAUCUACCUUUAGAUAAGCAGUACCUGCAUUAGAUGCAGCAGCAUACCCUUUUAGCAAAUGCAUAUACAUACCACGCUCAGACUGAGCAAACCAAACAAACCAACAGCGACCAGUACUUGUGUCCAUUUGUCUUCAACGAGGCAGAGACAGGCCAGGUCUCAAUAAACACAACAAAUAUAAGGUGCAGGCAGAGGAAAUAAGCAGAAGCUGUAAAGACAGCAGUAAAGUGAAACAAAUUAGACAAAUUUGCACACAGUCAGCGAUCUGGGCCGAGGACAAUUCACAACGUUACUGCCACAAUUAGAAGCAAAUGCUCCUCAUGCAACAAGAAAAAACACGUUUUAGCUGUAAACAGCACGAGUGCGUGGAGUUGGUUGAUAUUCUAAAAACAGCACAGACAACAAUUAAAGCAGACACACUACUUGUGU